UACGUAGGGUGCGAGCGUUAAUCGGAAUUACUGGGCGUAAAGCGUGCGCAGGCGGUUGUGUAAGACAGAUGUGAAAUCCCCGAGCUUAACUUGGGAAUUGCAUUUGUGACUGCAUAACUAGAGUGCGUCAGAGGGGGGUGGAAUUCCACGUGUAGCAGUGAAAUGCGUAGAGAUGUGGAGGAACACCAAUGGCGAAGGCAGCCCCCUGGGAUGACACUGACGCUCAUGCACGAAAGCGUGGGGAGCAAACAGG
rnacentral:rRNA from 1 species